AUCACAAUGGUAGUUUGAAAUUGGCCGCAGUGGGAGUAUUUACACCAGGGAAAUUGGCAAGUGCUACAAAUCAGGGCUUUUUCUUUUUUCCAGGGAGCCAUUUACUAGCACACCAUUUGUUAGAGUGUGAACUGGUUAGAAUGUAGAUGAGGGAUAGUUGGAGGCCACAGAAGACAAGCAAAGAGACCAAACUGUACAUUCAUCUAGAAAGGCUAGAUAAGAUUAUAUUAUAUAUAGAUAAGAUUGCAUUAGAUUUUUAAUGUCACCUUCAAGAAAGAAGGAAAUUUCAGGAUAUCAGAAAUGCAGAGGACACAAAGCCCUAAUGGUACAUUCUAAUAUUAUGGCAGCCAGGAUGAGGGGGAAGAGCAGUUGAUAGAUCCAGAAGUGUCCUUUAGGAUAGAGGUUUGUGUUUCAAUGCCCAGACAGAGACAGGAGACAAGGCUCUGGGUUCAUGGAAGGUGAAGAGUUGGAAUGAAGACCGUUGCAUUGACAAACCCCUCAAAGAACUGCAUGCACCUCAGUGAGAAAAUAAAAGCUCCACCUGCUGGCCUGGAAGGGGACCCCUGAUCUCCAUAAGUGUCCCUGACAUUUCAAGGGCACAAAUUCUCUGGACACACGGAGGGAAUAAUGCUGACAUUUUAUAGAAGCUGACCCACUGGAUAUCCUUCUCACCCAACUCCAUUAGGCUAGGGAGAGUAAGAGGCAUGGUGACAAGGUGGCAAAGAUGUCACCAUGCCAUCCAAUCACGAGGUCUCCAGGAAACUGUAUAAGAAGGACACCCCCAGAAACUCCUGGCACUACUG
rnacentral:antisense_RNA from 1 species